GAUGAACGCUAGCGGCAGGCUUAACACAUGCAAGUCGAACGGUAACAGAAAUUAGCUUGCUAAUUUGCUGACGAGUGGCGCACGGGUGCGUAACGCGUAUGCAACUUACCCUUAACUGGAGAAUAGCCUUUCGAAAGGAAGAAUAAUACUCCAUAGUAUUUCUCCUCGGCAUCGAGGAGUUCUUAAAGCUUUGGCGGUUAAGGAUAGGCAUGCGUUCUAUUAGUUUGUUGGUGAGGUAACGGCUCACCAAGACUUCGAUAGAUAGGGGGCCUGAGAGGGUUAUCCCCCACACUGGUACUGAGACACGGACCAGACUCCUACGGGAGGCAGCAGUGAGGAAUAUUGGUCAAUGGACGAAAGUCUGAACCAGCCAUGCCGCGUGCAGGAUGAAUGCCCUAGGGUUGUAAACUGCUUUUANAUAGGAAGAAACCCCUUUAGUGUAGAGGGCUGACGGUACUAUAAGAAUAAGGACCGGNUAACUCCGUGCCAGCAGCCGCGGUAAAGUCAGUG
rnacentral:rRNA from 1 species